rnacentral:rRNA from 1 species
AGGAUGAACGCUGGCGGCGUGCUUAACACAUGCAAGUCGAACGGUGAAAGAGGAGCUUGCUCCUCUGGAUCAGUGGCGAACGGGUGAGUAACACGUGAGUAACCUGCCCUUGACUCUGGGAUAAGCACUGGAAACGGUGUCUAAUACCGGAUACGACCUCCGAAGGCAUCUUCUGGAGGUGGAAAGAAUUUCGGUCAAGGAUGGACUCGCGGCCUAUCAGCUAGUUGGUGAGGUAAUGGCCCACCAAGGCGACGACGGGUAGCCGGCCUGAGAGGGUGACCGGCCACACUGGGACUGAGACACGGCCCAGACUCCUACGGGAGGCAGCAGUGGGGAAUAUUGCACAAUGGGCGCAAGCCUGAUGCAGCAACGCCGCGUGAGGGACGACGGCCUUCGGGUUGUAACCUCUUUAGUAGGAAGAAGCGAAAGUGACGGUACCUGCAGAAAAGCACCGGCUAACUACGUGCCAGCAGCCGCGGU